rnacentral:rRNA from 1 species
UACAGAGGUCUCAAGCGUUGUUCGGAUUCAUUGGGCGUAAAGGGUGCGUAGGCGGCGCGGUAAGUCGGGUGUGAAAUCUCGGAGCUUAACUCCGAAACUGCAUUCGAUACUGCCGUGCUUGAGGGAUGCAGAGGAGACUGGAAUUCCCGGUGUAGCGGUGAAAUGUGUAGAGAUCGGGAGGAACACCGGUGGCGAAGGCGGGUCUCUGGGCAUUUCCUGACGCUGAGGCGCGAAAGCGUGGGGAGCAAACGGG